CCAGGAAAUCACCAGUGAAGUUUAACGGGAUAGUAAUUAGUUUUUAUCCAGACUUCAGCGAUUACACAGCACAGCGGCACAGAGCCUUCUCUUCUCUGCUGGCAGUAACCUGUGAUCGCGAGGAUAACACUAGAGCCCGACCGAUGCCAGAUUUUUGGGUCCGAUGCCGAUCCCGAUUUUGGAGAGUCCUAGCCCACCGAUUACUGAUGUUUUGACCGAUGUUUUGUCAAAAAGUGCAACAUUUUCAAAUCAAUUUGAAAAACUUAUAUUUUAUUAAAGUUUCUAUAUUUAAGAAUAUUUAACUUAUAAGCAAACAAAUAAAA